CACCACGCCCGGAUGAACCAACACGUGGCGCAAGUCGUUUUUGAACGCUAUAUGAGGGCAAACAAGAAUCGUUAGAUCCAUGCCCACUAUAUGUUCCGUAUACAAGAUACCAAGCAAUGCUCAAUGAGCCACAAUGUCAAAGCAUGUGCUUCAACAAGGUGGAUCAAAGAGACCGCAUCAGGGUUCACCUCACGUUGCAAAAGCAACGCUAGACGAAAUGAAAUUUUGAUCUAUCCAACCGAUACCAUUGAGUAGGUAUUCAACACAGUAAACCCACAAAACGCACAAGGCGAUACAAGGCGAUACAAGCCUUGCCGAAUAACUGAAGAGGUAUGAAAGCAUGGAAGUUGUUGCAAGCGCCGCAGCCAACCACACGUAACAAACCAAACACCACUCAUGCACCUUUACGAUAAACAUCCCCGAAGCCACCCCAACUAGAAGCCACCCAUUCGGCUCAGA
rnacentral:misc_RNA from 1 species